ACCUAAMMMAUACAAAGUCGGGCGGUAACAGGCGUAGCAAUACGUGCUGACGAGCGGCGAACGGGUGAGUAAUGCUUUGGAAUCUUCCCAGUAGUGGGGAAUAACCAGUCGAAAGAUUGGCUAAUACCGCAUACGUCCGAGAGGGGAAAGCGGGGGACCGUAAGGCCUCGCGCUAUUGGAUGAGCCAAAGUCGGAUUAGCUUGUUGGUGAGGUAAUGGCUCACCAAGGCGACAAUCCGUAGCUGGUCUGAGAGGACGACCAGCCACACCGGAACUGAGACACGGUCCGGACUCCUACGGGAGGCAGCAGUGGGGAAUAUUGGACAAUGGGGGAAACCCUGAUCCAGCGACGCCGCGUGUGUGAAGAAGGCCUGCGGGUUGUAAAGCACUUUUAGUGGGGACAAAAAGCCAGGGGCUAACACCAUCUGGUCUUGAUUUAACCCACAGAAAAAGCACCGGCUAACUCUGUGCCAGCAGCCGCGGUAAUACAGAGGGUGCAAGCGUUAAUCGGAAUUACUGGGCGUAAAGCGCGCGUAGACGGUUUUGUAAGUCAGAUGUGAAAUCCCCGGGCUCAACCUGGGAACUGCAUUUGAUACUGCUUGGCUAGAGUACGGUAGAGGGAAGUGGAAUUUCCGGUGUAGCGGUGAAAUGCGUAGAUAUCGGAAGGAACACCAGUGGCGAAAGCGACUUCCUGYACCAGUAUCGACGUUCAUGUGCGARARGCGUGGGGAGYAAAACAGGAUUAGAUACCCUGUUAGUCCACGCCAUAAACGAUGACAACUAGAUGUUGGGAGGGUCUGCCCUUUCCGGUGUCGCARCUAAMGCCGUUAARUU
rnacentral:rRNA from 1 species